ACAGAGUCCGGUUCCGAGGAAAUGCAGGACAGUCAUUGCUCGUUCGUUUGGGAUGAGAAGUUUCGGCUAUACUUCCAUUCCAGAAGGAUGUUGCUGAAUUUCAACAACUCUGCUUCUAAGUUGCCAUUUCAAGUGCAUUUUCUACUGCAAAUUGUUACUUACUUGCAUUACUUCCAACAGCAGUGGAUUUUAUCUCGAUCCUGUAGCGGAUUGGUACUAUAGCAGUCGAGAUGGUUCUUAUUACAAAUUCGAAAAUGGAAGCUAUGUGCUUCUUCAGUCGAACGAGCAGGUGAAGAAUGUAAGAUGUGUCGUGAUAUCCUGUUAAAGGCGAACCAUGCAGAUAAGUGUGUACUACCGGCAGCGAGGAUCACUCUUCAUUUGAGGCCAGUGGACUUGAUGGUCUAAAUGCAGAGGAACUGAUGGAGGCGGACUACCAUCAGCUGAACCAAAAUCACUACUGUGCCCUACUACUUGCCAAGUUUAACCUAUCUCAAACGGAAGGCUAUGGUAACAUAGAGGAUAGAGGUGAAUGUUACUACGAUUAAAAUUCUGCAAUCAUGAAUUCUGGUCGAAGAGUGUUAUGUGGAGAGGAUGAUACUCAGAGGAUGCAAGGUGAAUGGCUUCGAGACAAAAAUCAUACUAUAUUGAAUCCAGGCGAAAGUGUAUUUUAUGGAGGUGUUUCGAUGGAUGAAAUAACUGGAAAGCCCCGUAUGUUGAAGUCGCACAUUAUGGGAAAGAAACAAUUCCCAAACUCUCUGUUGUGGACAUCUGGGACUGGUCGACAGUCUCAGAGUCCAGAACAGGGGAAAAGGCCAAAGCUACGAGGUUGGUUGAAAAACUGGUGAGAAAGUCUGCAAAGCUUCAUCUUUCGGUUUCGCCAAUGUUGCUCUUCUUAAAACAGCUCCAAUAUGUGAAUCACAUUUAUUAGAUUUGGUACAAGUUGCAACAAGGGAAAACCUACAACCUACAAAGUCCUAGUAAGAGGUAGUUGGGCUCCAUGUAAGAAAAAGACUGGAGUUUCCCUGAUUUAAUAGAUGGCCAAUUGAUCUUUGCUAAUAACGAGGCAAAAUGUGCGGCUGCAUCUACGUGUUGGUAGAUAGUCUCUCUCUGCGUCUGCAAAGAAGUUAAAAGCAAAUAAAUUAGCCGAGAGAAGAAUCCUUCACGGUGGUUUAGGGGUGGGUCUUGGACCGAAGGAUUCAUCGCGGUGAUAAAACAUUACCACCCCCUUCUGGCUAUUCCGAGAGCACUGCAGCUGAAACCUUGAAUAUUUCAGUUGGCGCUGGUAGUUACGCACGACAAAUCUAAACAUGCUUGCCGUGGAAAGAGGUUUGUUAAGUCUAUCCUUAACACUUUAAUGAAGUGGUUCAU